GGGAAGUGCUAUUUUGCAGGUUGCGGGUUGCGGGUUGCGGGUUGCAGGUUGCAGGUUGCGGGUUGCAGGUUGCAGGUUGCGGGUUGAAGUUUGCAGGUUGCAGGUCACCCAUAAAUAUUAUAUGUAUGAAAAUACAUGUAUAAAAUCUACCCCAUGACUAAUAAAUUUACAAUCAUUUCUUACAGAACACAUCCUGUAGUAAUAAAAAAUUAAAGUAGAGUAGAAGUUUUUGGUCAGUUUUCAGUUGUCAGUUUUUG
rnacentral:lncRNA from 1 species